rnacentral:rRNA from 1 species
GUAUAAAAAAUCUUACUAACAUAAACCAAUAAAAACAAUUUUACAUUAAAUCAUUAAUAAAAAUUAAUAAAAUAAAGUACUAAAAAGGAAAUAUAUAUCAACUUAAAGUAAUGACUAAUUCAUAUACCUUGUGCAUUAUGGUUUUACAAGAUAAAAAUUAAAUAAUAUUAUCCCGAAUUCUAUGCGAGCUGCUAUCCCAUAGCUAAGAGCCCACUAUCAACUGUAGCAUCAAUUCUAGAAAAUGGUUUAGCAGGGGCUACAUACCACCCGCGCUGGAAAAUUGCUGGUUAUCAGUAAAAUUUACAAAUAAAUCAUACAAUUACUCAUUGUAGUGCAAAACCAUAGAGGACAAGCCCUAUAGUUCAUAGCUAAUUAAUAUUAAUAUUUAACAUACCAAUAGGCUUAAAAUCAGCCAAUAA